rnacentral:rRNA from 1 species
UACAGGGGUGGCAAACAGUUGCUCGGAAUUAUUGGGUCGUAAAGCGCGCGUAGGCGGCUACUUAAGUCGGAUGUGAAAGCCCUUGGCUCAACUGAGGAAGUGCACCCGAAACUGAGUGGCUUGAGUACUAAAGAGGGUCGCGGAAUUCCCGGUGUAGAGGUGAAAUUCGUAGAUAUCGGGAGGAACACCGGUGGCGAAGGCGGCGACCUGGGUAGAUACUGACGCUGAGGCGCGAAAGCGUGGGGAGCAACAGG